rnacentral:rRNA from 1 species
AACGCUGGCGGCGUGCCUAACACAUGCAAGUCGAACGCGAAAGGGGCUUCGGCCCUGAGUAGAGUGGCGAACGGGUGAGUAACACGUGGGUGAUCUACCUCUGAGUGGGGGAUAACGUUCCGAAAGGAGCGCUAAUACCGCAUGAAGUCCUGGGUUUGAAGACCUGGAAACCAAAGUCGGGGACCGCAAGGCCUGACGCUUGGAGAGGAGCCCGCGCCUGAUUAGCUAGUUGGCGGGGUAACGGCCCACCAAGGCGACGAUCAGUAGCCGGCCUGAGAGGGCGGACGGCCACACUGGGACUGAGACACGGCCCAGACUCCUACGGGAGGCAGCAGUGGGGAAUUGUUCGCAAUGGGCGCAAGCCUGACGACGCAACGCCGCGUGGAGGAUGAAGGUCUUCGGAUUGUAAACUCCUGUUGAUCGGGACGAAAAGCUUCGACCUAACACGUCGAAGACUGACGGUACCGGUUGAGGAAGCC